CGAGGCCCUGGGUCCGCGGGGUGGUGGUUUGCGCCCGGCGCCGGCCCCGCCCUGCAGACCCGGACCUCCCUGCUCCGCGGUCGCGGGUGGGCGCGGGGCAGCCCUUUGCGGGGGUCUGACUUCACUUUUGCCUUUUUUCUUCUUUUCCUGGACGCCUCCUGCCUCUUCUUUCUCAGCAGGUGGCCCUGCAUCCUGCGGAAAGCCAUCCUGGAUUCACCAGGAGUCGCUGCGGAUGCUGCUGUUUGUCCCCACGUUGUCAUCCAUCCUCUGUCUGGGGAUCGGGUCCAGCCUUUGUGCUCCCUUCUCUCUCAUCUGUUCGGGAAAAGAAAGGAGGAAGAGGAAUGAGGGAGGAGGAGGAAGAAAGCAAAAGUCAUAUGUAAACACACCAUCCACAGACACCCAUUGUUCACAAUAUCAGAUAUUCUGAUUUUAAACAUACUUGUAACCACUUGGACGGACCAUUCAGGGACUGCAUGUAGUCCAGAGUGCCCUGAAUGAGCAGAAGCUGCUGGCUGACUAGAGGGAACUCUGGUGUGAAGCCUGUCAGGACAAAUAUGGAUCAUCACUGCCCUGGAUGGAGCUAAAUGGCCCAUGACACAUGUGGAGCAUCGCCCAGACCCCAAGCCCAAAACACCAAAUGAGCUCUGAUUUUAGUUUCAAAUUACCACACUCAGGAUUACUUAUUUAUAAACAUGCAAAACAGAGAGUUUUUAUUUACAC